rnacentral:rRNA from 1 species
AUUGAACGCUGGCGGCAGGCCUAACACAUGCAAGUCGAACGAGUGGCGGACGGGUGCGUAAUGUCUGGGAAACUGCCCGAUGGAGGGGGAUCACUACUGGAAACGGUCGCUAAUACCGCAUCCCAUCGGAUGUGCCCAGAUGGGAUUAGCUAGUAGGUGGGGUAACGGCUCCCCUAGGCGACGAUCCCUAGCGGGUCUGAGAGGAUGACCAGCCACACUGGAACUGAGACACGGUCCAGACUCCGACGGGAGGCAGCAGUGGGGAAUAUUGCACAAUGGGCGCAAGCCUGAGACAGCCAUACCGCGUGUAUGAAGAAGGCCUUCGGGUUGUAAAGUACUUUCAGCGAGGAGGCGUUACUCGCAGAAGAAGCACCGGCUAACUCCGUGCCAGCAGCCGCGGUAAUUC